CGGUGAGGACGACCUCACGACGCCCAGCGUGAUCAUCCAGGGGACGGCCCCA
rnacentral:ncRNA from 1 species